UACGUAGGGUGCUAGCGUUAAUCGGAAUUACUGGGCGUAAAGCGUGCGCAGGCGGUUUUGUAAGACAGGUGUGAAAUCCCCGGGCUUAACCUGGGAACUGCGCUUGGGACUGCAAGACUCGAGUACGGCAGAGGGGAGUAGAAUUCCACGUGUAGCAGUGAAAUGCGUAGAGAUGUGGAGGAAUACCGGUGGCGAAGGCAGCCCCCUGGGUCGAUACUGACGCUCAUGCACGAAAGCGUGGGGAGCAAACAGG
rnacentral:rRNA from 1 species